rnacentral:rRNA from 1 species
UGGGGAAUAUUGCACAAUGGGCGAAAGCCUGAUGCAGCAAUGCCGCGUGUGUGAAGAAGGCCUGCGGGUUGUAAAGCACUUUCGGUAGGGAAGAUAAUGACGGUACCUACAGAAGAAGCACCGGCUAACUCCGUGCCAGCAGCCGCGGUAAUACGGAGGGUGCGAGCGUUAAUCGGAAUUACUGGGCGUAAAGCGCGCGUAGGCGGCUUUGUAAGUCGGAUGUGAAAGCCCCGGGCUUAACCUGGGAAUUGCAUUCGAUACUGCAUAGCUAGAGUAUGGUAGAGGGUAGCGGAAUUCCGGGUGUAGCGGUGAAAUGCGUAGAUAUCAAGAGGAACACCUGAGGUGAAGACGGGUUGCUGGGCUGACACUGACGCUGAGGCGCGAAAGCCAGGGGAGCAAACGGGAUUAGAUACCCGCGUAGUCCCUGAGCGGGCUGGCAAGGCGCAU